rnacentral:misc_RNA from 1 species
UACGUGGGGACCGAGCGUUGUCCGGAGUUACUGGGCGUAAAGGGCGUGCAGGUGGCUUGGUAAGCUUGGCGUGAAAGCCCCCGGCCCAACCGGGGAGGGUCGUCGAGGACUGUCAGGCUUGAGGGGCGCAGGGGUCGGUGGAAUUCCGGGUGUAGUGGUGAAAUGCGUAGAGAUCCGGAGGAACACCAGUGGCGAAGGCGGCCGACUGGGCGCACCCUGACACUGAGACGCGAAGGCGUGGGGAGCGAACGGG